UCUCGCAAAGGUGGCUCCUUUCUUCCCGUUCCCCCGCAUCGGCGACGCCACCGAAGAAACCACCUCCCCCCCCCCCCCCCCCACACCUCAAUCGGUCAGUCCCCCACCUCCGAAACCCUAGCAAUGGAGCCCAAAUCCACCACCCCUCCGCCUCCCCCAGUCCUGGGAGCGCCCGUCGCGUACCCUCCGGCUGCCGCGUACCCCGGCCCCGGCGCCGUCGCCUAUCCGGCGGCCGCGCUCUACCCCUCUCCGCCGCCCCCUCCCCCAGCCGCCGCGCACCAGCAGCAGGGCGCCGCGACGCAGCAGCAGCUGCAGAUGUUCUGGGCGGAGCAGUACCGCGAGAUUGAAGCAACCACCGACUUCAAGAACCACAACCUGCCCCUCGCCCGCAUCAAGAAGAUCAUGAAGGCCGACGAGGACGUCCGCAUGAUCGCCGCCGAGGCGCCCGUCGUCUUCGCCCGGGCCUGCGAGAUGUUCAUCCUCGAGCUCACCCACCGCGGCUGGGCGCACGCUGAGGAGAACAAGCGCCGCACGCUCCAGAAGUCCGACAUCGCCGCUGCCGUCGCGCGCACCGAGGUCUUCGACUUCCUCGUCGACAUCGUGCCCCGCGACGAGGCCAAGGACGCCGAGGCCGCCAUCGGCGUCGGUGCGGGGAUCCCCCACCCUGCCGCCGGCAUGCCCGCCACCGAUCCCAUGGCGUACUACUACGUCCAGCCGCAGUAACCCAUUUCCAUCUCUCUUACUAGCUUCGAGCCUUUCGACUUUUAGUAAAUUAUUGAGAGUGUGCUGUUGUUCCCCUUGUUAUGUUGUUGCCGCCGAAUAACUUGGCGUGAUGAUCAUCUGAUGUGCCUCCUCUUUAUUAUACUCGAUUUCAGAUAUGAAAGAGGUGGUUGUAAUUGAGAGAGGGAAGCCGUAUGAUGGUGAUGAUUCUGCGUAACAGAUACUCCUGCCACAAUUAUUAAUUAUGUGGAUAUUCCAAGCGCUGCAUAUCCAAGGUUUCCUUUGGCUCGACAUCCAGUGAACUGCAAUACUGGACUUGGUGUGUGUUGAAAUGGGUAGAUCAUUUUUUUGCUUAACUUGGCUUUAUAAUUUCUGGGCAUCUUAAGCGAAGUAUAUUUGCUGCAAACACACGCAUUGGAGCUUUAUGGAGUAAUCAUGAUUUGACAUGGUAAACUCGUGUUUGCCUUUAAUUCAGGUAAGCGGAUGUUGCUGCUCCAUAAUUUUGAUGUGUAUGAUGGAGUAAUAGCUUGCAGCAGAUUUUGAUGUACUACUAAUGGAGCAUGACAAAAAUAUCUGGAUGUCAUCAAUUUCUGCUUCUAAAAGAAAACUGUAAUCACGUGGGAGGAGGCACUGGGUGCUCAGGGCUCAUCGAAACCUG